UGAGGAACAUGACCUUCGGCGGGGGAUAGCCGGCCCAACGGCCGGGUAAUACCGCGUACGACCACAUGGGGACAUCCCUGAGUGGUGAAAGCAGCAAUGCGCCGAUGGAGUGCCUCGCGGCCUAUCAGCUAGUUGGUGAGGUAACGGCUCACCAAGGCGACGACGGGUAGCUGGUCUGAGAGGAUGAUCAGCCACAUUGGGACUGAGACACGGCCCAAACUNUACGGGAG
rnacentral:rRNA from 1 species